GACGAACGCUGGCGGCGUGCUUAACACAUGCAAGUCGAACGGAAGGACCCUACUUUUGUGGUGUUCUCGAGUGGCGAACGGGUGAGUAUCACGUGUGUAUCCUGCCCUUGUCUUUCGGAUAACUUCACGAAACUGGGGCUACUAUCGUAUAGGAUCUCCUGCACCAUGGUGGGCGUUGGAAAUUUUCGGCGUUUGGGUAUGGACUCGCGGGGUAUCAGCUUGUUGGUGGGGUAGUUGCCUACCAAGGCUUUCACGGGUAGACGGCCUGUGUGGAGGAUCGGCCGCAUGGGAACGGAGACACGGACAAGAGUACUAAGGGAGGGAGCAGUGGGGAAUGUGAGGCAAUAGGCGGAAGUAUUACACAGUGAGCCCGAGUGUGUGAAGAAGGCCUUCGGGUCGGAAAGACCGUCUGUUGGGUAAGAAAAGCUGUAGGUUGAGACGAAGCGGGAGUGACGGUAACGAAUGAAGAAGCACCGGCUAACUACGUG
rnacentral:rRNA from 1 species